AAUUUUCUAUGACAUCACACUAGGGAGAUUCUCUUAAAAGUAUACACUGCAUAGUGACCUUAAAAUAGCAGCCUAAAGCAGCUGACCAGAAUAAUUCACUGGUAACCAGCCCAACAGCUGUCUGGGGUUCUAGAUUUACAAGAGCCCUACACUAUUUGUGGAAAGAAGGGAGGAGAUAGCGCGGGCUGCCUCAACCAGUAUUUCCAAGUCAAAUAUGACCACCAGCUCAGCAGCGCCACCUUCAGGGAUGCCCUGAGAAGUGCAUAUCUGAGAGCCGGAAAGAGACUGUGUUUACAUCCCAAACACCCAUAUGAUGCCAGAAAUGUUAUCCUCGAGUAAAAGGAUUCCAAGAUGGUCACAGAUAUUUGAUGAAUCCUGAGGCUCACAAGAUAAUGGCAGAAAGUCAGCCCCAAUUUCCCCAAAAGACCAAAGGUUUGAAUGAUGCUUCACUUCCUCUUCAAAUUUACGGGCUCUGAAGUUCAUGUUUCCCACGGACCAGCUGCUCAACUACCCUAACUCACUCUGACCCUAAGCCUGUGUUUUUAAGAUAAGGAUCCAUCAAGCAUCUUAUUAAUUUGCAAGAAAAUAAGAAGAGGAAUCUUCCCUCCAAUGAUAAAUAUUUUAUUUCACUAAUACCAAAGAGACAACCCACUGCACUGUUUCUAUCCUUUCUGCAAAUGUAGUAACUUUUCAAUCUAAUGCUGAAUGAUAGCAUCACCUUUAAAAGCAUUAAAAAUGGCAACUAGCUUAACUCACUGUAGUAUCAACAAUGUAUAUAUUGGUGAAGAGAAGAGAGUAUGAACAACCCUGAUCCAGUUUGUACCCACACAAACCAAGACUACUUAUAACUACCACCUUGCCAACAGCAUUUGUAAGAUGCCAUCAAUUGGAACAUGCAACCUAAUUUCAAAAACAUACGACUGCAGAAAACCAAUGUAUGCCUCAGUAUGGAUGCAGUAGUGUAGUGGCCCAUGGUCUUGUCUCUUUUACUCAAAUGUACUGUUACUUAAGUGCAAGAACUAGGAAAGCCUUUGUCCUAAGCUCAGGGUCAAGGUAAGGAUGUGUGGUGCAGAUGCAACCUUAAUGCUCUUCCAACAAUGUCGUUUUAGCUGGGCCACUUAUUUGUAACAUGCAUAUUUGAAAUCUUCUCUGGCUAUGCCCACCCAGGGCUUACCGGGAGUAACCUGGGAACACCCAUGUGCUUGUCAGCUAACACUAGCCCAAGAUGGUGGAGUGGUUAGUAAUGGUACAAAAAAGGCUUAUUUACUGUGUGAUUUCUUGAGAUUCUGGUAACUGUAAUUUGCGUUUUCAUACACUAUGACUGGCUUACUCCCUCACUCCCACUCUCCUAGCUGGCCUGCAUUUCAUUUCUCCUUUUUAUUCUGGGUGAUGGCUCAAAUCAAAUAGAAACGUAGUGUCCCUGGGGCACCUGAGUGGCUCAGUGGUUGACUGUCUGCCUUUGGCUCAGGGCAUGAUCCUCAGGU